CCUACGGGUGGCAGCAGUGCGGAAUAUUGGUCAAUGGACGAAAGUCUGAACCAGCCAAGUAGCGUGAAGGAUGACUGCCCUCUGGGUUGUAAGCUUCUUUUAUAUGGGAAUAAAAUGUUCCACGUGUGGGCUUUUGUAUGUACCAUAUGAAUCAGUCUCGGCUAACUCCGUGCCAGCAGCCGCGGUAAUACGGAUGAUCCGAGCGUUAUCCGGAUUUAUUGGGUUUAAAGGGAGCGUAGGUGGAUUGUUAAGUCAGUUGUGAAAGUUUGCGGCUCAACCGUAAAAUUGCAGUUGAAACUGGCAGGAUUGAGUACAGUAGAGGUGGGCGGAAUUCGUGGUGUAGCGGUGAAAUGCUUAGAUAUCACGAAGAACUCCGAUUGCGAAGGCAGCUCACUGGACUGCAACUGACACUGAGGCUCGAAAGUGUGGGUAGCAAACAGGAUUAGAUACCCUUGUAGUC
rnacentral:rRNA from 1 species